GUCUUCAGAACACCUAACAAAUAACCCAGUUCCUACAGUGCAGUGUACGUUAACUAAAAGGAAAAUUUUUGGAUACCUAAUGGAAUUGUGCUCCAUUUGGAGUAACUGAACACACUACAACUUAACCAGAUUGAUAGUGAUGUGGUUCAUGGACCAGGUGCUGCAAAUACUGUGACAUCUACAGUACUUACUCCUCUGGUAGUUUCUUCCAAGCUGAGUGUCUGGCUUGCUGGUAUAUGAGCUUGGAGCACACCGAGAGUCUAAAAAAUCAAACCAGUUUGAGAACCACUGAUGAGAUACCAGAGCCAAGUAGAUGGAAGGUGAAUAUCCAUUUAUGCUUUAAAGGGAUUCAAACUUACACAAGGACCUUCCAAUCUCUGAAGAAAGAGCUGAGAGUAAAUAAUGGUGGACCAUAUGCCUCGAUCUUGCUACUACCAGAUACUGAAACUUGCCUGAAGACUUCAAAUGGCACUUUGUCAGAGAAAUCAGCAUCUGAAAAUGUGUCCACCCUGCCUCAAGCUCUGUUUCUGAAAAUCCUUAUCUGCCUCUAUAAACACUCUUCGAGAUUCAGAAUUUUAGAAUAAGUAAUGUAAUUUCAGCUGCCUACAAAAUUUGAGGAAAGUUAUUAAAAUAUGCCCAAGUAUCAGCCUUUUAUUUCUUUCCAUU
rnacentral:lncRNA from 13 species